UCCCCCCUCCCCCAACCCCCCACCACCGCUACCACCAUCCUCCUCCGCUUUCUCCACCGCAACCAUUGCCAUUGUCCUCCUCCAUCGAUGAAAACUCCGACAAGUGGCUUAGCAUCUUCUGUUUUCUUAACGGUAGUGGUAACGGGAAUAGACACAAAUGACAUUCUUCAGCAGAGUUCCGUUAUAAUUUGUUGUGUUAUUCGUUGAAUUUUGAAGAUGAGGCAAACUUCACCAGCUUCUCUUCUAGACUUCCUCUGUUGCCAGUGAUGGUGAUGGAGCUAGCGACGGUGAAGGUGAAGCAUUUGGGUAUUACAGCUGUUAAUGUUGUUAUCACACACUUAUCUUGAUCUUAAAGCAUGCAUUUCUUUUAAUUUUUUGCACCUAAACCCUCACUCUUCGAUACUCCGUCUUCGAUAUGUUUUGCCUCCAUUAAAGUAAGUGAAAAUGUCUGUUAAGGUUUUGAAUCCAAAUAUUGAAGUACUUAACAAAUCGGCGAUGCUUCACCUGAAUAUCAAUGCUGCCAAGGGUUUACAGUAUGUUUUUAAGACUAAUCUCGAGCCUAAAUGCACUAUUAAAGUAUGAGUUGAGGUGUUUGAUUUUAUUUAGUAUUUGUGUUUUUGAUAGUUUAUUCUUAUGGAGAUUUGUGUAUUUGUAAAUUGAUAGGCUUGUUGGUGGUGCUGGUGAUAUUAAACUUACUAAGAAUGGAAAUACCUUCCUGAAAGAGAUGUGAGUUCUUAUUGUUAUACUCUUUAUGAGUUUUUUUAGAUAUUUAUUUGUUUUUUCGAGUUUCAUACCUAAACUUGUCAAGUAUCUCAGUUUCCUCACCAACUAUUAAUCAAAAUACACCUUAAUUAUCAAUUGUUCAUUUUUUCUACAUGAACGAUGUUGAAGUUUAUGGUGAUAUUUCUAUAGGAAAUGUGACUAAUUGAUAGUUGAUGCUUGUUUUGAUAAAUAGCUGGUGAUAGUUUAGACAAGAAAUUCAAAAUUCACACACUUGAUAGUUAAAGCACGAAACUCAAGAAUCGGGAUGCUUGCGGUGUGUUUUUGAUCAUUCUCUCACAUUUUGUUGUAUAGUUUACACAUUUGCAGUCGAUGUUGCACUUCAAAUGUCCUGAGUAUUACGUGAUGUUAGUGUGGAUGGUACUGAGAUGUAGAGUUAAGUUUUUUUAUGGAAGUCAAUCCAGCAACAAGAUGAAUAUUACUCUCUCUGUAGCAAAAAUUGCGGCACUGUUAUUUGUUCUAGAAGACUACAAUAGUUUGUCCAAACAUUUUUUCAAAUAUAUAUAACCGUAGAGGCUAAGACCUAUAUAAAAUCUCUGCUGCUAUAAAGAUUGUGAUUGGUAGUUCUUUUUGAAGGACUCUCUGAGUAUGUUAAAUUUUAAUCCCAAAAAAGUUAAGAAAUUAGUGUCCGAAUCCGUAGGGACAGGGUUUGCACAUUAGUAUGAUAUUCAAUUUAUGAUAAAUGAUGAAGGAUAAACCAGAUAAUAAUGUCACUUGGCCCCCAUGCCGAAGUAUUGGGCAUUUUUUGGGGAUUAGCCUGUUCACACCGGAGAUUAAAAAUGCUAAUACAUAUCAUCUUUUGAUUUGUUGGGACUUGGGAGCAUUUUGCAUGUUUUUUAGGAUGGUCCUGUUUGCAUAUCAUCAGCUGUUAUAGCUAUAAUCAAAGUUGAAACUGGGCCAUGUAUCUUGAUUACUACAAAUAAACAUAGAUGCAGAUGACUGUUACUAGAGUUGAAUUAUGGGUCUUCCGGUCACAACCUUAUUAUAUAGAAUAAAUGAGCGAGGUUUAUGAUUGUUAAAUAGGAGCAGUAAAUUUAAUCUUUCUAUUGAAUAAUACUUCGAAUUGGAAAAAAGAGUUUAAAGGUAACAGUGCACUUGAAAAAGGAUAUCUGGUUCCUUCUUUUUCUUUCCUGUUACGAGAUUAUUUGGUAGGAGUCUUCCAACAGACUUUGUACCCUCUCAUCGAGAUUACAAGGCUUUGUAUCCUAAAGAAAGAGCAUUAUCAAAAAGGUGAGUUCUUCAUCAGUUCAUUUUUUCAAAUGGUCCCUUAACAGUAGGGCUAGGCUAUGUUGAACUAUUUUUCUUUUAUUUACCAAGCAACAUUAUUGAUUGCUACAUGUGAUCUCUAUUUGAUUUGUUAUUUUAAUUAAUGUGUCCACAUAUACCUAUAGAUUCGCCCCUGAUGCCUCACUAAAAAGUUAGUUGAUUCGGCUAUAUGAAUCCUAAUAUCUGUUGUAUUCCAUAACUUUAUAUUGACAAAUGGUUUUGUUUGGAGUGAGUUUUGUGAUUGUCUUAUGCUUUACUUACAUGCUAAUAUUCACCGUUGGGAGAAGAACAUCAUAGACUUGAAUAUAAUAAUUCUGAGAUAUUCAAGGUGAAUCAAGAAUAAUUUUUUUGCUGUUACAAAAUAAUAUGUUUAUGGUGGAUGCUCAUAACUCUUAGAAUUAAGUAACUCCCACCCAUCUUCUCCAUGAUAUAUAGUUAAUCCUCCAUUACUCUACACACCAUUAUGGGUGUAACUCUCAUACCCUUUAAUCUCUCCCAUAAUAUUCUUGUUUAAUACCAUUAUGGGUGUGACUCUCACACCCUUUAACCCUCCUACCCCAUAAUGUUCUUGUUUAAUAGCAUUAUUAUGACAAUCUUUUGCAUGCCUCUAUAUGAUAUUAUAAAUAGAGGCAUAAGGGUUCAUAUUGUAGACACUUGAACAAUUGAAAUACUUGAAAGAAUGAAAAGAUCUCUUGUCUUGUCUCCUUAUUUUCUUGUUUACUUCUUCUUUAUGUUGCUAUUGCUUAGAUUAAUUUUAACACGUUAUCACCUCGAAUAUUCUCAAUUUGAGCCAAUCCCUUCUCCGAAAUAUUGACCGGCGUGAUAUGGGUAAAGGAGCAAGGUAAUCAAUAGCACAUUUUUGGAAAAAUCAAAAGUAAUGAUUUAUAUGUUGAACACUUAAUAUAAUGUGAUUUUGGCGCUUUGUGUUUUCUGUUUCAAACAUUGAAAUGUCAGGAGUUUAUAAUUUUUCUAAUGUGCAAAUAUUCAUAUAAUUUUAUCAAUGAAUCUUAAAAGGUUUAAAUUUAUUUUAUUCUGCACUUUCAUCAACAGAUUGUAAUAAUUAAUCUGUCAUGUCCUUUUUUUUAAUUUCUUAAAGUUAAAACUCAUUUAUGUUUUAUUGUAUUAUAUAUUUAUUUUAUUGUAAUUCAUUUGGUGUCACGACCCAAAAAUGAAGGUCAUGAUAACACUUGUCGCGGCGCACCUUGACAAGUAAGCCUUUUACCCAAACUGAUACAAAAAAAAGGAAAAAAAAGAAAUAGCCUAAGAUAAGGCUUCUAGAACGAAGCCGAACCAUAUAAGUAAUCAUAGCAAUGUGAAAAAAAAUAUAUCCAAAAUACCAACCAUGCCCAAAACCAAAUGUCAAUAGUGUAAGAACUACUAAUACAAUCCAAAAGUCAAAUACAUCAGAAAAUACCCACAAAGAAAUAAUAUCUGUCUUUGAAUACUAAUAAAGACAUAACUACUAUAGAAAUAUAAAGGUGAACUACGGACUCAUGAAUGUCCAACCGCUACCUUGGAAGCUCCAACAAUUGCCCGAGUUAAGGAAGUUGAGGCGCACUCAAGCUAGGACUUCACCGAAAGGGAACUGUAGGUAUGAGUACGGUCCACUUAUACUCAGUAGGUAUCAUAGGCCGACCAAGCAAAGUAGCAAAUAAAGCAUACAAAACAUGCACUAAGGGCUUGUCACCUGCAAUCAGAAAAUAUCCCACAACGGUAGCCUACACCGCUUGCACUAACAGUUCUAAUAUAUCUAACAUAUAUUGCAACACUACACCAAGAUAAAAUAAAAAUAUGUAUUAUAUCAUAUAUAAGAAGAAUAAGGCGGAACAUGCAUAUACAAGAUCAUCAAAUACAAGUAAAAAAAAAUACGAUAAAUACAUAGAUGACAAGUCAAUAUGGCAAUACAACAUAACAUAACACAAUAAAGUAAGUGCAAUGUAUAUGAUGGUGAAGAAGAUGAUGUUGGUGCACGAGGUCGUCGCACAACCUACGGGAUCGUCACACAAUCUCCGUAUAUACCUACGGAGGCAAGCCUCCUGACACAGGAUUCGUGGGGGGUUCGUCAACCCAUAUACAAUCCACAUAUAUCAUAUCUUCUUUCGGUCACAUCCUUCGAAAAUGUGCUAUCAGGUGUUGUCAGUGUUUCUCAGAUAUUACCACGGUGGUACCAAUAUUUCAUGAAUGAGUAUGAUAUAAAGAUGUAAUGCUCAAAACCAAUCACAAUGAGUAUUUUCACAACCAACCACAUGAUAUAUUUCCACAACCAACCACAAUGAUACAUUUCCACAACCACAUGAGCCAAUAUUCACUCAUUAUUUUCGUUUCAUCCAUGAAUUUCCACAUGUCUCAUAUGCAAAUAAAGUGUGAAUAUAAUUACAAUACACAAAUGGUACCACAUUAAGCAUUUUAACAAAACAAUACAAUUAUUCACAUGUAUUCAAGGCUAUCAAUAUCACAUAGGACCUCACGCGGUCACACAUAUCACAUAAUAUCUCAAUUUUGAGAAUUAUAUCACAUAUAGGCCUCAGCACGGGCACAACACAUAGAUAGGAUUUUUUCAUGAUUAGUUCCCACCCUUAACAUGUAUUUUGUAUCAUCAUUUACUACCCAGCCCAGUCUGAAAGAGUUAAGCUAUAACCUACCUCGAAAGUCGAAACCGGUCUGCUACACCUGAACCCGCGACCUUACUUUUCACGAAUAAUCUCAAACUCUACUAAAAACAUCAAAUAUUGAAUCUACACAUCAAAACAAAACCAACGACACCUAUAUUGACUACUUUUGGUUCAGGGUCAAAACAGACUCCCAAAAUGGGUUUCCUAAAAAUAAGGGCAAAAUCAGAACUUUACUUCAAAAAUAUGUUCCCCAUAUUUUUAGGAACCUACAGUUGAAAAUCCAAGUCAAAUUGAGUAAAAAAAUGAGGUUCAAAUUAAAGAAAAACCAUUUUUUGAGCUUUACCGGGUAAAAUCUUUGAAAUUCGAGUUAAAAUCAAGAAUCAAAGUUGUUUUGAAGGUUAAAUUGAUGAAAAACUAGUAAUUAUAAGAUAAAAAUAUUAUUCAAAUGAAAAGGAGUGAAAUUGGGGUUUAAAGUCAAGCCCUAAAAUUUUUGAAAUUUUGAAAAAUUUAUCAAGAAAUUACUAAGAAAAUUGUAAAUUUUUACCUUAAAUCCAUAAUAAAACCAAGAAAUAGGUGUUAAUCUAGCUUUCCAAGCUUCCAUUACUUUUAAGCUCCCACACUAUUUUAGGAUUUAGUUUCUAAGAGGCAAGAUGAAAAUGAGCAAAAUGGGCCAAAAAGAGUGAAAAAUCUGCUAUAAAAUAACAUAUUUUUCCGCAAUAUCAGAUUUUCUUGAUCAAUCGGACUUCGACGGGGUGCCCCGGACUCGUUCGGAGUUCGAUACAUGCAAACGAACUACGCAACCAUACUAGAUUCGACGUUCUGAAUUUAUUGGCAAAGUCAUAUUUUCAAAAAAAAUAUCAUUUUCACAAAGUUGACCCCCGCAACCCGAAAUCACAAUUUUCCAAACCGAGGGUUGAAAUGAGAUUUAAAAGCUGCAAAAUCUUAAAAAGUAUGCUAACACCCUAAAAUCAACAUUCCAGAUCUGCUGGCGAAGUCGAAUUUUACAUCCGAGGUCGUUUUGAUCAAAUAUGGGUCCCACACCUAUAUUUUUAAUUUUUCAACUUUCUGAUCAAUAGGUCAAAAUGAGAUCGGGUGCAUCGGGACCCAACCCAAAGGUCUACCUAGCCUAAAAUUGAUAUUUUGUAGUUGUUGGCACAGUCGUUAGGCCAUCCAUCACACGAAUCAAAAGAUAUCCCCAUAAGUCUAAAAUAAGGCUCUCGAAGCUAUCAAAAACCACAAUAUCAUAUAAAUGAUACCAAAAUGUAUCGAAAAUCAUGCCAAUAACUCCCACACCCAAGAAAUACCAUAAUGCAACUACGGGGAGGGGUAAAAUAAUCAAAUCACACAAAAUCACAAAUUUUACAAAUUUCACAUAUUUCAUCAAAUUUUUAGGUCGUUACAUCAUCCACCACUAAAAAUCUAGUUCAUCCUCCAACUAAGGCAAAGAUAUACCAGAAUCAAUGAAGAGUUGAGGAUAAGAACUACGCAUAUCAGACUCAACCUCUCAAGUAGCUUCAUUUACAGGUCAAUAUCACCACUGGACCUUAACCACAGGGAUCAAUCUAGAGCGCAACUGCCUAACAUCCCUAGCCAAAAUGGAAACCAGCUCCUCAACAAAGGACAACCGCUCAUCUAACUGAACCGACUCCCAAUGAAUGACAUAUGACUUAUCAGGAAUAUAGUGAUGAAACAUAGAAAAAUAGAAAAUUGGAUGAACAACUGAUAGAUUGGAGGGGCAAAGCCAACUCAUAAGCCACAUCAUCAACAGUCCGAAGAAUCUCAAAUAGACCAACAUACUUGGGGCUAAGCUUGCCCCUUUUCCAGACCCUUAUCACACCCUUUAUGGGUGAAACUCAAAGAAAAACACGAUCUCCAACAUCAACUCUCAAGGAACGAAGUAUACAAUCAGUAUAGCACUUCUGCCUACUCUGAGCUGCUCUAAGUCUAUCCUGAAUGACCCAGACUCUUAUCCAAAGACUCACGGAGCGAGUCCACACCUCGAGGUCUCAUAUCUGAAACAUCAAACCAAUCCACUGGGGAGCAACAACGCCUACCAUACAACGCCUCAAAAGGAGCCAUAUUAAAUACUGGAACAAUAGCUAUUAUUAUAUGCAAACUCUGCUAAUGCCAAAAACUGCUCCCACUGGCUACCAAAAUCCAUCACGCAUGCACAAAGUAUCCUCCAAAACCUAGAUAGUCCGCUCUGACUGGCCAUCAUUCUGGCGAUAAAAUGCUAUGCUUAGAUCAACCCGAGUAUCCAACUCAUCCUGAAAAGUCUUCCAAAAGUGAGAUUUGAACACAAAACCUUGAUUUGAAAUAAUGGACACCGACGCACCAUGUAGACGCACAAUCUCACGAAUGAAGAUAGGGACUAACCUCUCAUCACCGAAUGAGACCUGAACUAGAAUAAAAUGAGUUGACUUGGUCAGUCGAUCCAUGAUGAUCCAAACACUGUCAGAACCAUGAGAUGAAUAAGAAAAACUAAUUACAAAGUCCAUAGUGAUCCAUUCCCACUUCCACUCAGGAAUGGGUAACCUUUGAAGCAAUCCACCAGGUCUCAUAUGCUCGGCCUCUACCUGCUAACAACAUAGGCAACUAGCCAUAAAAUAUGCCAUAUCUCUCCUCAUACCACCCGUAGUGCUUUCUCAAAUCACGCUACAUCUUAGUUACACCUGGAUGGAUAGAAUAUCUAGAAUAGUGGCCCUCCUCUAAGAUCAACCUAAUCUAAUCACCCAUUCUCGGCACUCAAACUCGGCCCUCAAUCCUCAAAACUCCAUCUGAAUCAAGUGAGGCUUACUUAUCCUCCCCACUGAACACUUUAUCUCAAAUCAACCUAAAUCCAACAUCAUCAAACUGAUGAGCUUGAAUCUGCUCCAUCAAAGAAGAUCUAACAUCCACAAAUGCCAAAACACGCCCCUUAUGUGAAAAUAUCAAGCCUAACCAUCUAGUUAUCUAAAGACUGAGCCUCUAAGGCAAAAGUCCUCUCCUAGUUAAAAGAUGCACCAAGCUACCCAUGCUAGUCGACUUUCGGCUCAAGGCAUCCGCAACCACAUUAGCCUUGCCCAAACGGUGCUGCCUCAUAUGAAGAUCUUACUAGGUAAAGAGGUACUGAAGGCUACGAUGAUCUGAGAAGAUCUCACAAUGGACUCCAUACAAGUAGUGCCUCCAUAACUUCAAAGCAAACACAACUACGUAUAACUCUAAAUCAUGGGUAGGAUAAUUCCUUUCAUGAGGCUUCAAUCUUGACGAGAUGCAUACAUAAUCACCUUGACUUUCUACAUCAAUAUAACACCCAAUCCAACACCAAAAUCAUCACAAAACAUAGAAAAACCCAUGCUCUCCUUGGACAAAGCCGAUAUAGAGAGUUGAAGUCAACAAAUCCUUGAGAUUUUGGAAGCUCUCUUCACAAGCAUCAGACCACUAGAAAGAAAUCUUUUUCUGAGUCAGCAUAGUCAAUGGAGCUGCAAUGGAUGUAAAACCCUCAAUAAAACACUGAAAAUAACCUUCUAAGCUGACAAAACUCUAAAUCUCGAUGGGUAAAGUAGGUCGAGCCCAAUCACAAACCGCUGCAACCUUGGCUGGAUCAACCAUAAUACUUCCUUAGUUACCAUAUGAUCCAAGAAAAAAACACACUUUAACCAAAACUUGCACUUAGAGAAUUUCACGUACAACUUCUCGUCCCUCAAUAUCUGCAGCACAAUCCGUAAAUGCUCUUCAUGCUCAACCUCACUCUUAAAAUAAACCAAGAUUUCAUCUAUAAAUACAAAAAUAAAGAAGUCGGGAUACAAUUGAAAUAUUUAGUUCAUUAACUCCAUGAACGUGGCAGGGGCAUUGGUCAACCCAAAAUAUAUGACCAAGUACUCAUAAUAACCAUAUCGAGUUCAAAAAGCUAUCUUCAGAAUAUCUGAAGCUCUAAUCCUCAAUUGGUGAUAACCGAACCUCAAAUUAAUCUUUAAAAAUACUAUAACACCCGAAACUGAUAAAAAAUCAUCAAUGCGAAGAAGAGGACACUUAUUCUUAACUGUCACCUUAUUCAACUGUUGAUAAUCAAUUCAUGACCCAUUUUUUUCUUCACAAAUAAGACAGGCUUACCCCAAGGUGAAACACUAGGUCUGAUAAAUCCCAUAUCCAAUAACUCCUAUGACUGAUCCUUUAAUUUCUUCAACUCUGCUGGGGCCAUUCUAUAAGAAAGAAUAGAAAUAGGCUUGGUGCCCGCUCAAUAUCAGUAGCAAAUCAAUAUCUCGAUCCGGAGGCAUACCAAGCAAGUCUGUAGGAAACACAUCCAUAAACUCAUGGACAACACAAACAGAAUCCAAGAAAAGAGGCAAAAUAACAUUGAUGUCACGAAUAUGAUCCAAGUAAGAUAAAAAUCUCCUCUUAAUCAAUUUACAAGACUGAACAUAAAAUGUAAUCCUCUUAGGACCCGAAUGAAAUACACCCUUCCAAGCUAUCCUUGGCACACUCGGCGAAGCUAAAGUAACAAUCUUAUCAAAAUAAUCUAAGACAACAUGAUAAGGAGCCAACCAAUCCAUAACCCAAAUAACAUCUAAGUCAACUAUGUCUAAGACAAGCAAGUCUACCAAAGUCUCACGCCCGACCAAGGUCACAACACAAGAUCGAUGCACCCAAUCCACCACUAAAGAAUCACCUACCAAGGUAGAUACAUAAAUAGGCAUGGAAAGAAGCUCACUAACAGAAUUAAAACCUGAAGCAAAAUACACAGACACGUAGGAGAAAGUCGAUCUGAGAUCAAAUAAUACAGAUGCAGGUCUAAAACAAAUGGGGAUGAUACCUGUAAUCACAACAUCAGAAGCCUCUGCCUUAGGUCUGGGUGGUAUAACAUAACACUGACCAUGAUCACCAACUGCUUAAGUGGCCCCACAGCCACCCGCACGAGCUCCACUACCUCUGUUCCUCACACCUCUAGUAGCACCCCUACCCCUCACAGGUGAAGUAGGAGUAGCUCUAAAUACACGGUGAGGACAGUCCUUGGCCAUAUGGCCAGUUUUAUUAGGCACAUAGCAACCUCUACGACCAACCUCAAUAGAAUAAGGCACAACUAGGCCUGAACGACCUCCCUGAACUGCUAAACUAGAAGGUCCAACACCCGAACUCUAUAAGGCCACCCGCACUAGCCUACACUAUCCAUGAGAACCAUUAAAAUCUCAACCUCGAGAGGUCUGACUCCUGAACUCACCAAAAUAACGCACCUUCUUGGUGCCACCCUGAGAUACUUAAAGAAUACCCUCUGUCAUCUUAGCAUGAUCUAUAAUAUUCUGAAAGAAAGGCCUAAGCACAACCAUCUGAGACAUAGCUAACUAAAGGGUGACAUCCAAACCUUUCACAAACUUCUGGGUCUUCUCAGACUCAAUAGAAAUACUAUCAUAGGAAUAUUUGGACAGAGCAGGAAAACGUGACUCAAACUCAGAAACUGUCAUAGAGCUUUUCUUAAAAUGAUUCAACUCAUACAACAUCUGAUCCCUCAAACUAUAAGGCACGAAUCUCUCCAGAAAGGCAUCAACAAACUGAUCCCAUGACAACUCAGGAGCAUCAAUAGGCUUACAACCGACAAAAAAUCUCCAUCAAUCUCUCGCAGCAUCUCUUAACUAAUACAAAUAUAAACAUAACUACUAUAGAAAUAUAGAGGUGAACUAUGGACUCAUGAAUGUCCAACCGCUACCUUGAAGGCUGCAAUAAUUGCCCGAGUCAAGCAAGCUGAGGCGCACUCGAGCUAGGACUUGCACCAAAAGGGUACAUUAGGCAUGAGUACGGUCUACUUGUACUCAGUAGGUAUCAUAGGCUGACCAAGCAAAGUAGCAAAUAAAGAAUACAAAAUAUACACUAAGGGCACUUGACCUGCAAUCAGAAAAUAUCCCACAAUGUUAGCCCACACCGCUUGCACUAACAGUUCUAAUAUAUCUCACAUAUAUUUCCACAUCACACCAAGAUAGAACAUAAGUACAUAUUAUAUCACAUAUAAGAAUAAUAAGGGAGAACAUGUAUAUACAAGAUCAUCAAGUACAAGUAAAAAAAGAUAAGAUAAAUACAUAGUUGACAAGUCAAUAUGGAAAUACAACACAACAUAACACAAUAAAGUAAGUGCAAUAUAUAUGAUGAUGAAGAUGAUGAUAAUGAUGAAGAGGUCAUCGCACAACCUCCGAGAUCAUCGCAUAAUCCCCGUAUACACCUACGGAGGUAAGCUUCCCAAUGAAGGAUCCAUAGGGGAUUCAUCAACCCGUAUACAAUCCACAUAUGUCAUAUUUUCUUUUUGGCACAUCCCUUAGAAAUGUCUUAUCAGGUGUUGCCAGUGUUUCUCAAAUGUUGCCACGGUGGUACCAAUAUUUCAUGAAUGAGUAUGAUAUGAAGAUGUAAUACUCAAAACCAAUCAAAAUGAGUAUUUUCAUAACCAACCAUAUGAUAUAUUUCCACAACCAACCAUGAUGAUACAUUUUUACAACCACAUGAGCCAAUAUCCACUCAUUAUUUUUGUUUCAUCCAUUAAUUUUCACAUGUCUCAUAUGCCAAUAAAGUGUGAAUAUAAUUAAAAUACACAAAUGGUACCACAUUAAGUAUUUUAACAAAACAAUACAAUUAUUCACAUGUAUUCAAGGCUAUCAAUAUCACAUAGGACCCCACGUGGUCACACAUAUCACAUAAUAUCUUAAUUUUGAGAAUUAUAUCACAUAUAGGACUCAACACGAGCACAACACAUAGAUAGGAUUUUUUCAUGAUUAGUUCCCACUCUUAACAUGCAUUUCGUUUUAUUAUUUACUACCCAGCCCAGUCUGAAAGAGUUAAGCCAUAACCUACCUCGAACGUCGAAAUCGGUCCGCUAAACUUGAACCUGUGAUUAUACUUUUCAUGAACAAUCCUGAACUCCACUAAAAAUAUCAAAUAUAGAAUCUAUGCGUAAAAAAAAACUAACGACACCCAUAUUGAUUAGUUUUGGUUCGGGGUCAAAAUGGACCUCCGAAAUGAGUUUCCGAAAAAGAAGGGCAAAAUCAAAACUUUACUUUAAAAAUAUAUUCCCCAUAAUUUUAGGAAUCUACAACUGAAACACAAGCCAAAUUGAGUAAAAAACGAGGUUCAAAUAGAAGAAAAACCAUUUUUUGAGCUUUACCGGGUAAAAUCUUUGAAAUCUGGGGUAAAAUCAAGAAUCAAAAUUGUUUUGUAGGCUAAAUUGAUGAAAAACUAGUAAUUAUAAGAUGAAAAUAUUAUUCAAAGGAAAAGGAGUGAAAUGGGAGUUUAAAGUCAAGCCCUAAGAUUUUUAGAAUUUUGAGAAAUUUAUCAAGAAAUUACUAAGAAAAUUGUGAAUUAUUACCUUAAAUUCGUAAUAAAAUCAAGAAAUAGGUGUUAAUCUAGCUUACCAAGCUCUCAAAAAUUUACUUUUAAGCUCCCACACUAUUUUAGGAUUUGAUUUCCAAGAGGCAAGAUGAAAAUGAGCAAAAUGGGCCAAAAGAGUGAAAAAUCUGCUAUUUCAUAGCAGAUUUUUCUGCAAUAUCAGAUUUUAUUUGAUCAAUCAGACUUCGAUGGAGUGCCCAAAAUUUGUUCGGAGUCUGAAACAUUCAAAAAAUCUAUGCAACCAUACUAAAUUCGACAUUUCAGACGCGUUGAAGAAGUUAGAUUUUUGAAAAAAUAUUAUUUUCACAAAGUUAACCUCGAAAUCCGAAAUCACAAUCUUCCAAACAGAGGGUCAAAAUAAGGUUUUAAAGCCGGAAAAUUAUACAAAAUAUGCUAACACCCUAAAAUCAACAUUCCAAAUCUGCUGGCAAAGUCGAAUUUUCUAUCUGAGGUUAUUUUGAUCAAAUGUGGAUCCCACACCCAUAUUUUCAAUUUUCCAACUUUCCGUUCAAUAGGUCGAAAUGAGAUCGAGUGCAUUGGAGCCCAACUCAAAGGUAUACCUAGCCUAAAAUCAAUAUUCUGAAGCUGUUGGCGUAGUCCGUUCGGUCAUCCAUCGUACGAAUCAACAGAUAUCCCCAUUAGUCUAAAAUAAGGCUCUUGAAGCCAUCAAAAUUAUAAUAUCACAUAAAUGAUAUUAAAAUGCAUCGAAAUUCAUGUCAAUCACUCCCACACCCCAUAAAUACCAUAACACAACUACAGGGAGGGGUAAAAUAGUCAAAUUAUAAAAAAUCACAAAUUUCACAUAUUUCAUCAAAUUUUUAGGUUGUUAUAUUUGGUUAAUUAUCUCAUUGGUUGGAGGUAAGGUGGUAGAUUCAAGUCCUAUCACACGAAAGUGGUAAAAUAUUAGUUUGAGUUUCAGUGCAUCAUGAUAAGAAAAAUGUUGGAUUCAAGGCUCUAUGAAUUAUGAUCUAACACACUUUUAUGGGAAAGGACAUUGUGUUCAACUUCCAAUGCGAUAUAUUUAUGAUAAUGAUGUCUAUGGAAAAUGAUGUAUUUUUGAUGAAAAGUCAUAAAAUCCACCACAUUGAUAUACUUCAUUCUUUGAUUUGAAUGUGACGGCAUUGCGUAAUAAGUCUAAAAGAAGAUAUUUGGUUUAUUAUGUGGGCGUGAAGGAACAAAAAAUAUAAUAGUCAUCAUUAUGGUAAUUAUGAAAGAAAGAACAUUGCAGGUUCUCAAAAUAGUCCUUCAAAAGAUGAUGGUUAUUUUUAUCACUAAUUAAAUAGGUAAGGUAUUGGACACUCAGUUGUAGUGUGACCAAAUUUGAUAAAUUUUAUAAAAUCUCCAUCAAAUAAAGGAAUAUAAAGUGGUGGUACACUUAACCUUUUCAAAUGAUGUUGAGAUGGGUCAUAUAAAUAUGACAAAUGAACAAUAAGGCCUCGUUGCAUCAAGAGAGUAAGGCCUCGAGUUAAAGUUCCGAUGAUACCAUGACAAUAAGGUAUUGGGUUUUGAGUCCCAUCGAAUUAUGGCUUAAAUGCCUUUAUAUUGGUAAGACGUUGGAUCUAAGUUCCAAUGCACUAUUUGAUGAUAAUGAUGAUCGAUGUAAAUGUACGUUUGGUGAAAAAUAAUAAAACCUGCCACAUUGAUUUCCUUCAUUCUUUGAUAUAAAUGUGGUAGCUGUGCAUAUAAGUCUAAAAGAAGACAAGUGGUUAAAAGUGCAUGUGGACGUGGAGGAACAAAGUUAUAAUAGUCAUCACCUUGGUAAUAAUAAAAUAAAGAACACUAUGGGUUCUUCAAAUUAUCCUUCAAAAGGUGAAAAUACUUUUUUUGUUCACCAUCAAUUUGGUAUGAAAGGUAGUUGGCACAUAGUUAUUGUGCAACCUAAUUUGAUAGGUUUUAUAAAUCCUCCAUCAAAAUAAAAAAGAACAAAAGUAAAGAUACACCUGGCCUUUCAAAACGAUGUUGAGGUAUAUAUCAUAUGAAUAUGAUAAAUGUUAAGAUAUUGAGCACAUAAAAUAUAUUAGUCCAUUUCUUGAAGAGAAUGUGACUAGUGAUAAAUAUCGUGGAUGCCCGACCGUUCAUGAAAGUGAAUGUGUCAAGAUAUGAUGAAAUUCACAGACAAAGACGUGCAUAUAUAUAAUUGGAUAAAUACCAAAACUCACCUCUACGGGAGGUUUGAAGGAAAUAAAAUUUUAAUUUGGUAUAAAAAGAUCAUUGAUGCUAUAGUGUGUUUGAUCAUGAUCAAUCAAAGCGUAAAAUCAAGAAGUGAUUCUUGCCUAUAAAAGUUUUGGCCAUGAUCAAAAUAAAUAUAUGGUGUGGUCGAAUGAAUUUGUCAUUGAUUGUAUAAAUAUGGUAUGCCCAAAAAGGACUUUGCCAAAUGUUAUAAAAAAUAUACUGUUAAAGGAAAAUGUAAAACAAGAAAGAGGUCUUGCAUUUAAUGAUUUUGGCUACCGAAAAAAUAAUUUUCUCCUUAAAAGGAGAUGGUACCGAUGUGAAUGGUGUUUUGAAAUAUAAGGUAGUACACAAGCAUUUCAUAGCUUUGAAAAGCUAGUGUGUUGCUAAGCGGAGGAAUAUUAUUUAUGGUAUUGGAAUUGUAAUAAAUCUCAUAAGAAACUUUUGAAGUUUCAAGAAAAUUGACAAGAAAAGAAAUUAUUACUAUUUUGAGACUAUAAAUUUUGAAAUUUUUUUAUAUCUUCAUGGGUUAUAAAUAUUUAUGGGAAAGCUUACCUAUUUUUAUCAUGUUUGUUGAUACAAAUAUAGGCAUGGUGAUAAAAUCACAUGUUGUAGUAAACAAAGAGUUUACAAGAAAUAUAUAAGUUGGCAUGAUCUGUUGACCAUUCCGGUUUAAAUAUGAUGCAAAGAUAAUUGAGAUUUCAUGAGGUUUUACAUUAAAGAAAUAAAUGAUUCUUCAAGAAUUCUCUUAUGUUGCUUGUUCUCACGAUAAAAUAUUAUACCAACUAAGGUUAUGGUUAUAUCCUCUAAUAUUUUUUGGAAUGUAGAGCAAGCUGAAUAUGGACCCAUUCACUUGCUAGUGAACCCUUUAUUAUGAAAUGAGAUGCAUCUAUGGUUGGUCACAUGCACUGCUUUCAACUUGCAAUUUAAUUUUAGCAAGGUUGUUUGCUCAAAUUGUUAAAUUGAGAGCAUGGUUCCAAAUUUUAAAAAUUGAUAAUGCUGAUUGGUUUAGCAGAAAAUCAAAUUGUGUGUCUCGAAUUAUAGCUGAACCAUUGAUUAUGAGAACAAAUCUCCCAAAAAGAAAAUUUGGUAUGAGAUGAUUUUAUUUAAAUGUAGCAACAUUUGUAUGAAUCAAGCCAACAAGUUUCCCCUAUAUUAUUGGUUCAGGGUCAAGAACCAAUUAAAAUCCAUCUAAAUAAUUUGAAUGUGCAAUAUCCACCACGCACAAAGAUAAAUAUCCAAAUAAGAUUGCGGUGAAUGUUAGAUUUCCUAACAUUUGGGGGAGAUAUGAUUAAGAGCUGAAAUGUAUGGAAUGAAUUAUUAUGAUCCUCAUAAAAAAUGGUUAACUUGAAGUUCAAUUGAUAAUUCAUGAUUUACAAAAUGUUGCAAGUUUAUUUUCAGACUGAUUUUAUGCCAUAAUUCAGCUAUAUAAAUGCUCCAAUGAAAAAUCCUUGAAAGGCAGAGUCUAUGGCAUACCUGAAGCGUGAUAGACAAAUUGGUUCCAAAUUUAAAAAUUCUUGAAGAAGGAGAGGAGAAAAUGAUAAAUAUGGUCAAUGAUAAUGAGGCAAGUGCUUUCAAAAAUACUAUGACGUAACUUUUCAUAAGACUUUGGCAAAGGUUCAGGUACCUGAAAAUGAUGAAAAGAAGAGAUCGAUCUUGAUAUGUUAUGUCGUAAUGGAAUAGAUAUCAAAUAACCAUCGACGGUAUCCUUAGUAUAAUGUAGAGCUCACCAUUAUAAAUAGUAACGAGGAUCUUAAAUUUAAAUCCGUCAAAUAGUGUGGAUAGAUAAAUGACGUAAUUCAAGUUUAUUAUUUUUUACUUGAAAAGUAAUGUUUUGGAAUUAGUCUAUAGACUAAGGUAUAAUGCUAGUGGGAUACAAUUUAGUGAUUGUGCAAAAAGUAAAAUCAUAAGAUAUAAAAUACGAUUUGUUCCUUGGGGCAUAAAGGUUAUUCGUAAAAGUCCUGGUAUUAUUGUUUGGAAAUGCCUUCUCCUAUGGUUGAUGCAAUAAGGUUUCUUCAAAUUUGGCAAUGUAUGAAAAAAAUUGAUUGUGUAUAAAGAAUGAUUGUCCUGUCUAGCUAGAUGGAAAAUACAAUAGGAAAAUCCUUGAAGGAUUUAAAAAAGAUUUGAUCCAUUGAAUAUCCCAAAAGGUUGCGUGUAAUACCCCGUAUUUUCCUAGCAUAAUCUAAGUCCUAGUGUAUGAGCAUUUGUAAAUAAAAAUUUUAAAACACUCAUCAUUUUUCAUUUUAGAGCCUGCUAUUGCAUAGGAAAUUUAAUUAGCUUUCCAACGAUAUAAAAUUUGCUGAAAUUCGAUAACAGGAUUAGAAGUUAUGGCGAUUUUAAGUUUCAGUCAUUAAACAUCAUCAUUUUAACCCUUAGCACGUCGCAGAGAAAUUCUAAAUGACAAUUGUCAAUUUCUCGUGCGACUCCAUAAUGUUGGCGCAUCGCGGAGCAGGAAAAUUUGCAGUUUAGCAAUUUUCAGUAGGCCUCCGCGAUGGUGGCGCGUCGUGGAGUUGGCCAAAUUGGCACUUCAAAGGAUUAAUGUGAUAGCUCUGCGAUGCGGUGUUUGUCCAGGUCCCAAUUAUCCCUUCUCCUGUGGCUUGGCGUGAUAGUGGCGCAUCGCGCCAAGGCUAAAAAUUGGGAUCUUCAGUUUUUUGCUUCCGUUUUAAAAUUUAUUCAGGGGUAUUUGGGACUUUUUCCAUGGCCCUAAUUAACCUAAAACACGAGAUUACCCCUAAACACCCUAAGUAGUCAUCAUUAUUUCAAUUCCUCACACAAUCAAAGAUCACCUUUUUAAGAACAAGAAACUCUAGCUCUCAAAUUCAAGGACAAUCCACAAGAACUCACCCAGAACUUCAAGAAAUUCACUAUCCCAGGUAUGUUAGAUGUUUAUCUAUGGAUUCCUUUCAUCCAUGGAGUACAAAUAUCCUAUUUUAAUUACCAAAUUAUAAUCUUUUCAAGCUAUUUGAUUUUAAAUUAUGAUUUCACCCAUGAACCUAAUGUAUUAUUGAUUUUAUACCAUGUUACCAUGAAAUUAUUGAUAUCAUUCAAUCCUCUAUGUUUUUAUAUUAUUAUUUAUUAAAUAAAACCAUGAUUUAGUAAUAUUAUCUUGAAAUCAUGCUAUUUUAUAAGUUAUAUGGCAUUCUUAUGAUUAUUUUAAACCCUGACCUACAAGUGUUUGAUAAAAAUGCCUACAAGAGUGAUUGAUUUAAAUAAAAGCCUUCAUGUUUUGUCCUUCAAGGUUUAGUGUCAUUUUACUAUUAUUGUUUUGAGUUCUGGGGGUAUUGAAUACCCGAAAUCCAUAGUUGUAUACUUAGUCUAGUAUCAGUACAUUAUAUAAUAGUCUUCAGAAUAUACUAUAAGCAUUAUUAAAACAGUCAGUUACCAGUCAAAUGAACUCAGAACAGUCUAGUAUUUUAGUAUCUUUCAGUUGGGAGUAGGAUUUAGCACCGAGCGUGUGUAGGUAUAGAGGCUUCCCCAUCAGAUAGACAGAGUCAUUAGUAGCAGUCCCUAUACUCCAGAACUACUUAGCCAGUAUAGGGUAUGAGGAGUAACUCGUCAGAUUAGGCUUGACUAUCUCGCAGGGGUCACCCAUCAGUUCAGGCUUGACACCCUAAGUAUUGGAUAUUAUAUCAGUUUAGUGGAUCCACAUAACCAUAGUUAGAACCCGUGAUACGGUAUUAACACACUUCCAACUGGGGUUAUAGGUUGGACCCCGAUUAGCUCAAAUUGGGGAAUGUCGGUUAAAUGAUACCUCUCACAUUCUCAAAUAUAGUCUUUGUUAUAGUCUCAGUUUAGUUAUGCAGUCUUAGAGUUGCUUUACCAAAGCAUAUAAAUAUCAGUAUAUCAGUUUACAGAUUUUACUCAGUCCAUGUUAUAUGCUUGGUCAUGCAUCCUUAGUGUCUACAAAUUCAUGUAUCUUUAGUAUUUACAGACUGUUAUGCAUACCCGGUAUUUACAGAUUCCCCAUAUUUUCAGUAUUUACGAUUCCAUGUUCUCUACUCAGAACUCCAUGUUUUACAUGCAUAUUCAGUUAAUUAUUCGUUCUAUUCAUGAAACCAAGAAUAUCAACCUACCUCAUUUAGCAUACCAGUAUAUUCAAAGUACUGAUCGCAUAUCCUUCUUUUGUGCUAUGAUGUAUUAUGUCAUAGGUGUUGAUGCUCAGUUCUUGGACCGUUCUUAGACCUCACCUUUCAGGCUAUCAGUAGUACAGUAGCAGUGGUGAGUCCUCAUCAUUCGAGGAUAUAUUAUUUUACUUUAUAUCUCUAUUUUAGUAGUUAGCAGAGUUAGUUGGGGGCCUAUCCUAUCAACUCAUAGUCAGUCAGUAAGUUUUAGAGGCUUUUCAGACAUUAGAGUUAGUUAUCUAGUAUUCAGAUUUUCAGUUGACAUGUCAGUUUAUCAGUAUUUAAUUAGAUUCAGUCAGUUUUUCUGUAGAUUCAUAUUUCAGUAUUGAUUCAGUGAUUAAACCUUAUGGAAAUAUCAGAUGUUUUCAGUAAUUAUGAUAUUAUUAUUCAGUGCUCAUGACAGGUACCAGCUCAUGGGUUAGCUUGUUAUCCCUCGAGACUGUACGCACCGUGUGACACCCAGGGUGUACUCUUGGGGCGUUACAAACUUGGUAUCAGAGCCUAAUCUUUUGAAGUGUCCUAGGAAGUCUGAAAGCCGUGUCAAGUAGAGUCUUAUGCAUAGGUGUGUAGCGCACCACAUUUAUGGAUGAGAGGCUACAAGGUGUUUAGGAAAAAUUUCCCUUCUUUCAAUAUUCAUGUCAUGUGAGUGAGCAUAAGUUCAAGUUGAACUCCCCGUCUAAUCUAUUUCUUCCUUCCAUUUAUAGAACAUGCCUCCCAAGAAGAAUAGAAAAAGAAUAAGAAAUCAGCCAACCCCUCAGCCCAUCCAGGCAGAUCCUCUGGACGAGCACGUCUCUCACGCAGAAUUUAGGGCUACGUUCACUACUUAGCCAAUUCUGUAGCAGCAUAAAAUGAACAGCCAGCUGCUGUUCCAGCCAACCCAGUGGCUAAUACAGCUGCAACUAGAAUUCGGGAUUUCACCCGGAUGAAUCGUCCUUUUUUUUUUGGAUCCAAGUCUGAAGAGGAUCCACAGAAAUUCUUAGAUAUGGUUUAGAAGGUCACGGAUGCUAUGAGGGUGACAUUUGGUCAGAGUGCUGAGUUGGCUGCAUACCAAUUACAGGGUGUAGCCCAUACUUGGUUUAAGCAGUGGAAAGUUGAUAGAGGUGUAGAUGCAUGGCCUGUAGAAUGGGAAGAGUUUGCCAUAACUUUCUUAGAUAGUUUCUUUCCAUUGGAGUUGAGAGAGGCCAAAGUGUUGGUGUUCAUUAACUUAAGGCAAGGCAGAAUGAGCGUGAGGGAGUAUUCCCUCAAGUUUACUUAGUUAGAUAGGUAUGCUCCUCAUGUGGUAGCUGAUAAUAAGUCCAAGAUGAGUAAGUUUGUGUUUGGCGUAUCUGAUAGUAUAGCUAAGGACUGCAGGGCCGCAAUGCUGAUUAGUGAGAUGGACUUAUCUAGGCUGAUAGUCCAUGCUUAACAGAUAGAGGAGCAAAAUAUUACGGAGAGGGAGAGAGGAAUCAAAAAGGCUUGGACGGGUAGUUUUAACUUCAGUUAGACAAAGUCAGAGGGUGGUAACCGUUCUCAGUUUUAUCAGAGAUCUUCAGCUCCAACAAACUCUUCAACCAGUGUCCCCGUACCCAUAUUCAAAAAUAACAAUAGGGAUAAAGCACCAGGAUCUAAGUCCCAGGUCAGUGUUAGCAGUGCUCUUACAAAUCCUUUAUGUCAGAAAUCUGGCAGACACCAUUAGGGUAAGUGUAGAGCGGGUAGUGAUGUGUGCUUCAGGUAUGGAAAGCCAGGCCAUCGGAUUUGGAAGUUUCGGGUAGUUGCUCAUAAAGGUAGGGAUGUAUUCCAACAGGGCCAAUCCCAUCAGUCGUUAGUUUCAUCCGAUUGGUCGAAUCAGCAGGGUGCCGCCUCCAGUGCUACCAGUAUCAGCGUCCGAAUAGAUUAUAUGCUUUUCAGCCCUGCCAAGAUCAAGAAAAUUCUCCUGACGUAGUUAUUGGUAGGUUGCAGGUCUUUCACUUACAUGUUUAUGCUUUACUAGAUCCUGUGGCUUCUCUUUCUUUUGUAACUCCAUAUAUAGCCGUCAACUUCGAAGUUAGUCCUGAAACUCUAGCAGAGCCCUUUUUAGUGUUUACCUAGUAGGCAUUUCCAUUAUAGCCAGACAGGUAUACAGGAAUUGUCCGGUUAUAAUAUCCCAGAAAGUUACCUCAGUUGAUCUCGUAGAGUUAGAGAUGAUGGAUUUUGACGUCAUUCUCGGCAUGGAUUGGCUCCACUCAUGCUAUGCCUCAGUUGACUGUAGAAAUAGAAUAGUUUAUUUUUAGUUCCCAAAUGAACCAGUCCUUGAAUGGAGGGUUAGUACUACAACUCUUAGGGGUCAUUUGAUCUCGUACCUUAGAGCUAGAGAGCUGAUAUGGAAAAGGUGUAUUUACCAUCUUGUGUGAGUCAAAGACUCUAACUCAGAAACUUUUACCCUUGAGUCAGUUUAGUAGUCAGGGAAUUUCCAGAUGUGUUCCGGGAAGAUCUUCUCGGAGUUCCUCCCGAAAUUGAAAUCAACUUCGAAAUAAACCUUCUCCCAGAUACUCAGCCUAUAUCUAUUCUGCUAUAUAAAAUGGAUCUAACUGAACUCAAAGAAUUGAAAGAAUAGUUGAAGGAUCUCUUAGAUAAAGGAUUCAUCGGACCCAACAUCUCCUUGUGGAGUGCACCAGUUCUAUUUGUACAUAAGAAAAAUGGUUCUCUCAGAAUAUGUAUUGACUACUGCCUUGAACAAGGUCACAAUCAAGAAUAACUAUACACUUCCUAGAAUUGAUAACUUAUUUGACGAACUUCAGGGUGCUAGCUAUUUUUCCAAGAUAGACCUCAGAUCAGGCUAUCAUUAUCUUAGGGUCAGAGAAUAUGACAUUUUGAAAAUAGCUUUCCAAACUCGGUAUGAUCACUUUAAAUUUCUAGUCAUGUCCUUCGAUCUUACAAAUGCCCCAGCAGCCUACAUGGACUUGAUGAACCAGGUGUUCAAGAAGUAAUUGGACAUGUCUAUCAUAGUCUUCAUUGAUGACAUUCUUAUUUACUCCCGUAGUGAAAAUGAUCAUGCAGACCACCUCAGAAUAGUACUUCAAACUUUUAGAGCUCACCAGUUGCUCACUAAAUUCAGUAAGUGUGAAUUCUGGCUAAGAUUAGUAACUUUUCUUGGCCAUAUUAUUUCUGAUGAUGGCAUUAGAGUUGAUCCUCAAAAGAUUGAGGUGGUAAAAAACUAGCCUAGACCCAUCUCUCCAUCAGCUAUCAAGAGUUUUUUGGGUUUAGCUGGCUAUUACCAUCGGUUUGUUGAAGGGUUUUCUUCUAUUGCAUCCCCCAUAUCAAAAUUAACUCAGAAGAAAUUUAAGUUUCAAUGGUCAGAUUCAUGUGAGAAGAGUUUUCAAGAGUUGAAGACUCAACUCACCUCAGCCCCAGUCUUGACCCCACCAGACUCUUCAGAUGGUUUUGUUGUGUAUUAUGAUGCAUAUAGAGUAGGUUUGGGUUGUGUCCUCAUGCAGAAAGGUAAGGUCAUAGCCUAUUCCUCCAGACAACUUAAACCCCAUGAGAAGAAUUACCCUACUCAUGAUCUUGAGUUGGCAGUUGUAGUGUUUGGCUUAAAGAUUUAGAGGUAUUACUUGUAUGGGGUGCAUGUGGAUGUGUUCACAGAUCACAAAAGCCUUCAAUAUGUAUUCUCUCACAAAGAUUUGAAUCUACAUUAGAUAAGGUGGUUAGAAUUAUUAAAAAAUUAUGACAUGAGUGUUCUGUAUCAUUCGGGCAAGACCAAUGUAGUGGCUGAUGCUCUCAGUAGAUUAUCCAUGGGUAGUGUAGCUCAUGUUAAGGAUGGUAAGAAACAGUUAGCUCAGGACUAUCACGGUAGAUUAUGUGUGACUGGUGUAGAUGACUUGAGGCAACAAAUUCUUGCGGAAACGCAUGGUGCGCGUUACUCUAUUCAUCCAGGGCCACUAAGAUGUACUGCAAUUUGCGGGAGAUUUAUUGGUUGAGUGGGAUGAAGAAAGAUACUGCAGAGUUUGUGGUUAAGUGCUCUACAUGUCAACAAGUUAAGAUUGAGAACCAAAAACCUAGUGGGUCCAUGCAGGAGUUCAUUAUAGGAAGUGAAAUUGGAUUUUAUGAUAGGUUUGCCCCAUACCCGUCAUCAGCAUGAUUCUAUUUAGGUUAUCAUAGAUAAGAUGACUAAAUCAGCCCAUUUUUUGCCAGUCCAUACCUCUUAUUCAGUCGAGGACUACGCCAAACUCUAUAUCAGAGAGUUGGUCCGGUUACACAGAGUCCCAGUUUCUAUCAUUUCAGAUAGAGGUACCCAUUUUACCUCUCAUUUCUGGAAAGCAUUCCAAAAGGAUCUUUGUACCCAAGUCCAUCUCAGUACAGCCUUCCACCCUUAGAUAGACGGUCAAGCAGAAAGGACCAUUCAGACUCUUGAAGAUAUGCUGAGAGCAUGCACAGUCGAUUUUAAAGGUAGUUGGGAUGACCACUUGCCUUUGAUUGAAUUCGCAUACAAUAACAACUAUCAUUCCAGUAUCCAUAUGGUUCCAUUUGAGGCUCUCUAUGGUAGGAGAUGUAUAUCUUCAAUUGGUUGGUUUACAGUAGGUGAGGUCGCAGUAAUAAGACCUGACUUGGAGUUUGAUACCUUAGAAAAGGUUUAGUUGAUCAGAGAAAGGCUUAGGGCUGCCCAGAGCCAACAGAAAUCGUAUGCAGAUGUGAGGAGAAAGAAUCUCAAGUUUGAGGUUGAUGAUCUUGUGUACUUGAAAAUAUCUCCCUUGAAAGGAGUGAAGAGAUUCAGCAAGAAAGGGAAACUCAUUCCCUUAUAUGUCGGUCCCUUCAGAAUUCUCAGUCGUUUUGGAAAGAUAGCUUAUGAACUUGUGUUGCUUUCAGAUUUAGCCUCAGUACACCCAGUGUUCUAUGUCUCCUUGUUGAAAAAGUGUAUUGGUGAUCCAGCUGUAGUGGUUCCUUAGAAAGUUUAGAUAUUCAAAACAAUCUUUCCUUUGAGGAAAUUCCAAUCAAAAUUCUUGAUCAUCAAGUUCGUAGACUAAGAAACAAAGAAUUUCCAUUGGUCAAAGUUCUUUGGUGGAAUCAGUCCGUUGAGAGAGUCAUUUGGGAAGUAGAAGCAGAUAUGCAGACCAAGUUCCCUCAUCUCUUCUCCGCGAAUCCAAAUUCAGUAUAUGGUACUAAUCUUCUUAAGAUUUCUCUCUAUCAUGCUCGGUUAUAAUUGCACAUCAUGUUCAUGUCAAUCGUGCAUUUACAAAUCAGUUCAGUCAUGCAUUCCAUGCAUCAGAUAUAUAUUUUUAGUGUGUAAGCUUAGCCCAACAGCUUUCCUUAGCUUAACCAGUUUCAUUCGAGGAUGAAUGAUCCUAAGAGGGAGAUAUUGUAGCACUAUAUAUUUCCCUAGCAUAAUCUAAGUCUCUGUGCAUGAGUAUUCAUAAAUAAAAAUUUCAAAAAACUCAUCAUUUUUCAGUUUAGAGCCUGCCAUUAUAUAGGAAAUUCAAUUAGCUUUUCAACGAUAUAAAAUUUUGCUAAAAUUCGAUAACCGGGUAAGAAGUUAUGGAUAUUUUAAGUUUUAGUCAUUAAACAUCGUCAUUUUAACCCUUAGCGCGUCGCGGAGACAUCCCAAUGAAAAUUUUUAAUUUCCAGUGUGACUCCAUGAUAUUGGCACAUCGCAGAGUAGGCCGAUUUCCAGUUUGGCAAUUUCAAGUGGGCCUCCGCGAUGGUGGCACGUCGCGGAGGUGGCCAAAUUGGUACUUCAAAGGAUUAACGCAAUAGCUCUGCAUCAUGAUAUUUUUUUAGGUCCUAAUUAUCCCUUUUCCAGUGGGUUGGCGCGAUAGUGGCGCAUCGUGCCAAGGCCAAAAAUUGGGAUCUUCAGUUUUCAGCUUCCGUUAUUAAAUUUGUUCAGGGGUAUUGGGAUAUUUUCUAUGGCCCUAAUUAACCUAAAACAAAAAAUUUAACCCCUAAACACCCCAAGUAGUCAUCAUUAUUUCAAUUCCUCAUACAAUCAAAGAUCUACUUUUCAAGAACAAAAAACCCUAGCUCUCAAAUUCAAGGCCAAUCCUCAAGAAUUCACCCAAAACUUUAAGAAAUUCACUAUCCCAGGUAUGUUAGAUGUUCAUCUAUGGAUUCCUUUCAUCCAUGGAGUCCAAAUAUCCAAUUUUAAUUACCAAGUUAUAAUCUUUUCAAGCUAUUUGAUUUUAAAUUAUGAUUUCACCCAUGAACCUCCAUGUACUAUUGAUUUUAUACCAUGUUACCAUGAAAUUAUUUAUAUCAUUCAAUCCUCCAUGUUUUUAUAUUAUUAUUUAUUGAAUAAAACCAUGAUUUAGUACUAUUAUCUUGAACACAUGCUAUGUUUACAAGUUCCAUGGCAUUCCUAUGAUUGUUUUAGACCCUGAACUAUAAGUGUUUGAUAAAAUUCCUACAAGAGUGAUUGAUUUAAAUAAAAGCCUUCAUGUUUGUCCUUCAAGCUUUAGUGUCAUUUUACUAUUAUUAUUUUGAGUCUUGGGGGUAUUGAAUACCCGAAAUCCAUAGCUGUUUACUUAGUCUAGUAUCAGUACAUUACAGAAUAGUCUUCAGAACAUACUAUGAGCAUUAUCAGAAUAGUCAGUUACCAGUUAGAUGAACUCAGAAUAGUCUAGUAUUUUAGUGUCUUUCAGUUGGGAUUAGGAUUUAGCACCGAGUGAGUGUAGGGAUGGCGGAUUCCCCAUCAAGUAGGCAGAGUCAUUAGUAGUAUUCCCCAUACUCCAAAACUACGUAGCCAACAUUGGGUAUGAGAAGUCACUCGUCAGCUUAGGCUUGACUAUCUCGUAGGGGUCACCCAUCAGUUCAAGCUUAAAACCCUUAGUCCUUUGGACAUUAUAUCAGUUUAGUGGAUCCACACAGCCAUCGUUAGUACCCAUGGCAUGGUAUUAACACUCUUCCAACUGGGAUUACAGGUUGGACACCGAUUAGCUCAAAUUGGGGAAUGUCAAUUAAAUGAUACCUCUCAUAGUCUCAGAUAUAGUCUCAGUUUAGUUAUGCAGUCUUAGAGUUGCUCGACCAAAGCAUACAAAUAUUUGUAUUUUUUAGUAUUUCAAUUUAUCGAUUUUACUCAAUCCAUAUUUAUGCUUUGUCAUGCAUCCCCAGUGUCUACAGAUAUUCAUGUAUCUUCAGUAUUUACAGACUGUCAUACAUACUUGAUAUUUACAGAUUCUCCAUAUUUUUAGUAUCUAUAAAUUUCAUGUUCUCUACUCAGUACUUCAUGUUUUAUAUGCAUAUUUAGUUAAUUAUUAGUUCUAUUCAUGAAACCAUGCACAUUAGCCUACCUCAUUUAGCAUACCAGUAUAUUCAAAGUACUGACCGCAUACCCUUCUUUUGCGCUAUUAUGUAUUAUAUCAUAGGUGCUGACGCUCAAUUCCCGGACCGUGCUUAGACCUCACUCCUCAAGCUAUCAGUAGUACAGUAGCAGUGGUGAGUCCUCAUCAUUUGAGGAUGUAUUAUUUUACUUCAUAUCUCUAUUUCAGUAGUUAGCAGAGUUAGUUGGGGGCUUGUCCCAUCAACUCAUAUUCAGUCAGUCAGUUUUAGAGGUUUUUCAGACAUUAGAGUAAGUUAUCCAGUAUUCAAAUUUUUAGUUGACAUGUCAGUUUAUCAGUAUUUAAUCAGAUUCAGUCAGUUUUUCUAUAGAUUCAUAUUUCAGUAAU
rnacentral:lncRNA from 1 species